GAUGAACGCUGGCGGCGUGCUUAACACAUGCAAGUCGAACGAUGAAGCCCAGCUUGCUGGGUGGAUUAGUGGCGAACGGGUGAGUAACACGUGAGUAACCUGCCCUUAACUCUGGGAUAAGCCUGGGAAACUGGGUCUAAUACCGGAUAGGAGCGUCCACCGCAUGGUGGGUGUUGGAAAGAUUUAUCGGUUUUGGAUGGACUCGCGGCCUAUCAGCUUGUUGGUGAGGUAAUGGCUCACCAAGGCGACGACGGGUAGCCGGCCUGAGAGGGUGACCUGCCACACUGGGACUGAGACACGGCCCAGACUCCUACGGGAGGCAGCAGUGGGGAAUAUUGCACAAUGGGCGCAAGCCUGAUGCAGCGACGCCGCGUGAGGGAUGACGGCCUUCGGGUUGUAAACCUCUUUCAGUAGGGAAGAAGCGAAAGUGACGGUACCUGCAGAAGAAGCACCGGCUAACUACGUG
rnacentral:rRNA from 1 species